rnacentral:lncRNA from 1 species
UGUAUUUAUGCUUUUGAUUUCUUGCAGGUGGAAUUUGAUUCUGAUGAAGAAGAUCCGAAUGUCUGUCUUGGAUAAAAAUUUGAACGAAGAUCAUCUGCAAAGACUUUUGAUAGAGUGCUAGUGUGAUUAUCGACAACAUUACUAAUGUUGGUUACUCGAGCUGCAUGGGCGACAACUUUCUUUGGUUUUCAAGAAAUCUUUCUUCUAUCUUGAUACCUUGAGGAGCUAAAGAUGGAUGGCUUGAUCCAGAUUUCAAUCAAUUGGCAACUGGAAUGUGCUGUAGAUAUCCAUGUUGUAGUUAAAGUCUUUGGGCCGUGGUCGGUGUUUAUGCAGGCAGCAGCAACAUGGCUUUAUAUGGAUCUUUAGCGACUAGUUUUCUUGGUUUUUUUUUUUUUUUUUCCCAGUAACGAUCUAUAGUGACUAGUUGAGCAUCUUAUAUAAUGCUAGUUUUUGUGGAUUGUGCUUUAGAGCUGAAUAAUCCAAUUACAUUUUGUACUGUACAAAUCAUGGCCUUGUAGGGUGGUCAAGAGUGGUGAGAUCAGUUCCCCCUUAAUAGGUCGAAGAGCAAAUCAAACAUCUUCAUUUGUCCAUGUUAGAUUUGAGUAGCGUUCACAUGAUUCUGUUGUCCAAUCAGUGAAUACAUAAACCAAAUCAUAGUCUGUCAUACAGUAGUAAACAGUUCAGAGCUAGAUGCUCACCAUGUUCGAGCGGGGCAACUUAUUGCCAUUCCACAUACAUGGUUGUUUAGGAUAAAAAGAUGACAGAAAUUUUGAAAAAAAAUAAUAAUGAAAAUAUGAGAAAAAAAUUGGAAUUUUCAUUGACUUCCAUUAAUUAUUUGAUUUGAUGGCUAUAGAUCGCAUUACUUUUUUGCAUAGAAACCAAAGUCGAACAUUGCUAAAUUUACAUGAAACAAAAACCUAGUUUACAAGAAGAACGGGCCUGGGAUUUUUUUUACUGCCGGAUUCGACUCGAUUAAACUUGCAGGGUCCUUAAACUGGAAUAGGAAACCAAUAAAACUUGUGGUGUUUUUGCAAGGAACAUCUAAGGUGCCGGACCAAAUAGGGCAGCGCAUCAUCAAGAGGAGGACCGUCCCGAUUCAAAUAGCUAGGCUUCUUAAAACCAACGCCACCAUUUUCUCUGCUUCUUCUUGUUGUUUGUUCAGAGGCACUGUUGUCGCUUUGGUGAGUUUGUUGUUGAUCAGGAGAAAUGACAGGUGUUGCGUUUCGCUCACUCAUGCUGGUCUCGAUACUGCAAACAUUUUCACUCUGUUUCCAUUCUAAUAAUCUUCUCUGCUGUUUAAAAAGGGAUGAUUUGUCCUUGUCACUUUCCUCUCUCUCUCGCAUCCUCCGAGGAAUUAUUACCAGGAAGCUCAACUAAAAUGCGUGUUCCCGGCUUACCGGCUUAUAACCAAACCUGCUGGUUUGGUUUGGUAGUUUUUUUUAGUCAAAGCUUUGUCCGGAGGCCCGAUAAGGUUGGCAAGAGAAAAUUUGGUGAGUUGCAUGCAUUUUUAUUUGACAAGUUAGGUGGAGAUUUUGGAGUUAGGCAAUGUAAUUCGUAAAGUUGUGUCUUCAAUUCUUAAGCAUUAGGACCAAUAACUGGUUAGAUUCAGACAAUAACGAAAUAUUACAAAUAAAAUUAAUAUUGGAUUGUCAGCAAUGGAGAACAGAUUUAAUUGAGUGAAAAACGAACGUCCUCCCAAAAACAUGAUUGUACGUAAAUUUGGCUAUGUAUAAACUAUGAUCCCUUCCCUUUAGUAUAAAAAGUAGGAACAAUUUACUAUAAACGAGAGAGAGAGAGAGAGAGAGGAGCGAGGUCGACAAAGUCAACAAAACUAUAUCCUUUUCAAUUCAUCAUCAUACCAAUGUAUAUCAUCGUAUUCACCACUGUCCUUAUUUUAUUUAUGUCUCACAAAUCUCAUAUUAAAAAUUAGAAAGGAAAAAAAGAAAAGAAAAGGACAACACGAGUGGUAAUGCAUACGAUUAAUGGAUGAUUUCAAUUCAAUACCGACGACGAAACAUUGGCAUGACAAAGAACUUCAUGGUGCCGUUAUUACAGUGGAAGCCAGCGCCUCCGCCGCAAGCAAAGUAAUGAGGCUGCCAGCUCUUGAGCACGAACUCGAACCCGUCACCACCUCCUUGUGUCUCGCUAGCAACCACCUUGGCUCUGCUCAGGUCACAUUUUAAGAAGCUCCAUAGGUUUGGUAGCAAGUACACACUGUGAGGAUGGGUGUUUGUGUCACUUGGUGGAUCAUACUUGAACACUGCACAAAUAAAUCAUGUCAGUAAAUACAGCAUGCAAACAAUACACUCGUAUGAAAGAAAUACAAAUCAAUCCCAUCCACACAAACAUGGGCUUAAUCAAAAAAUAUAUAUACGACUAUGUGCUGCUCGAAUAGGAUCUCUGCAAAUGACCCGAAUCUGAAUGGCAGCGCGUCGUAGAUGUUGGGUAAUUUUUGGAAAUCCUGACAGGAUUAGGAGAUCAUAUAUAGCAUUGUUUGAUGUUAAGUGAUGAACUAACCUAGAGUGUCAUUGAAGUAGAAUGGACCGUUUUUGAGAGCCCAAUCAGCGUAGUUGAUACCGAACGUCCAAUUUUGAGAUCCACCCACAACGAUCUUGUUGGGUGUAGCUGUAUUGUUUUGGGGACAAGGGCGACGCUUGUAACUCCAAUCAGUGUGGUUGAAACCAUAUUGCCUGCUUGCCAUGCUUAUUGUCCACAUGGAAGCACUAAGCAGAAGGAUGAGUACCUGUGCAUGUGUUAGACGAGCCAUCUUCCCUUUCAAGUGCAACUUGACAAGGAUGUGAAUCUUUAGAUAGAACUGAAACUUAGAUGGUGUGGUGUACAAUAUGAGUUGAUAGCAUCUAUAUAUAGGUGAGGGGGAGAGGGUAAGAGAAAUAGUGCAGAACAGCCAAACUGGCCUUUUUUCCCCUUCUGUUCGAGUAGGUGUAGAUGGAGAAACGUGAUGCUCACCGCUUUCAAUGGCCGCCUAAAUCCUCUACUUUUUUUUUAUUAUUAUUUUUUAUGAAUUAAGUCCUCCACUUAUGCUAUCAAAUAAAUUAAGCAAAGACAUUAGUUGACAUUCUGGGGUGUUUGGCGUUCAAAAGUUAAUGCUAGCUAGGGGGGAAACCCAGCUUCCUGGAUCCAAACAGAGCAGUAUGAAAAGCUCGGUGCAUUUUCUAGUAAUGGUUGGCUGCGGGAGAGAAGGGGUCAACGAAAUGGUACUGUCUGAAAAGAAUGAAGAGAAAGAUUGAAUUUGCAGCAGUAUUUGUUAUUGAUACUGAAUCAUAUACUUAUAUAGAAGGAGGCUGCAACUGAUACCUACAAGUCAGGAAUUAGUUGCUGCUUUGUAGCUUCAGCUGCGACAUGUUAAGAAUUACAAAUGGAAAGUAAAUAAAUACAUAUCUUCUAUUUUAUACAACUCUGCUAUUCUAUAUAUGAGAAUAUUUUACUUUAUAACACUCCCCCUCAAGUUGGAAAGUGAAUAUCCUGCACUCCUAACUUGCUAACCAUAGGAACAAAGAUCUCUUUUCCCAAGGGCUUAGUUAAUACAUCCGCUAGUUGAUGUGCAGAGUCAACAUGUUUUGUAGUGAUAGAACCAUCUUGAAUCUUGUCUCGGAUGUAAUGGCAAUCCAUUUCAAUGUGCCUAGUUCUCUCAUGAAAAACUGGAUUAGCUGCAAUAUGUAACGCAGCUUUAUUGUUACAAUAUAAUAAGGCAGAUUCAUGGUGUGAAAUUCCCAAGUCUUUUAGUAGACAUCGCAACCAUGUUAACUCACAGCAGGCUCCUGUCAUUGCUCGGUAUUCUGCUUCAACAAAAGAAAGCGAAACCGUUUUUUGCCGCUUCGACCUCCAAGAUAUCAGUGAAGGUCCAAGAAAAACACAAUAGCCCGUUGUAGAUCUCCUAGUGAGUGGACAUCCUGCCCAAUCUGAGUCACAAUAAGCCCUCAACCUCAAGUCACUCUUGGAAGAGAAAAAUAACCCUCAGCCGGGUGCUCCUUUUAGGUAUCGAACAACUCGAAGGGCUGCCUCCAUAUGAAGUUUUCGGGGUUGCUGCAUAAAUCUACUCAAGACAUGUACAGCAUACGUUAUGUUUGGUCUAGAUACAGUCAAAUAAAUUAACCGACCCACCAAUCUUCUAUACCGGUUUGUAUCCUUGAGUAGGGUGCCCUUGUCUAAUAAUUUUAAGCCUCGUUUCAUAGGAGUAUUAAUAGGAGCAGCACCUGACAAACCUGAAUCCUCGAUGACUUCCAGUGCAUAUUUACGUUGUGAAAUAAAAAUUCCAUUCUUUGAAUUAGACACCUCAAUUCCAAAAAAGUAUUUUAAGUCACCAAGAUCUUUGAUAUGAAAAUGUUUAUGCAGGAAUUGUUUAGUUGCAGCAAUAUUGUCCGGAUCAUUUCCAGUGAUCAAUAUAUCAUCAACAUAUAUCAAGAGGACAGUAAAAGACAUACCCUGCUUCUUGGUGAAUAGAGAAUAAUCUGCUCUUGAUUGUAUAAAACCAGCAGAAUGCAUAGCUUCGGAAAAUUUGGCAAACCACUGGCGGGAUGCCUGCUUUAAACCGUAAAGUGAUUUGUGGAGGCGACAAACUAGAUGAUCCUCCCCCUGGCGCCGAAGACCUGGUGGCAGAGACAUGUAUAUCUCCUCAGCUAAGUCACCGUGAAGGAAAGCGUUGUGGACAUCCAUCUAGUGCAGGGACCAGCCGUGAGCUGCUGUUAAGGCAAGUAAACAACGGACAAAUAUUAUUUUGGCAGUAGGAGAAAAUGUAUCAUGAUAGUCGACUCCUUCCAUUUGAGUGAAACCUUGGGCGACUAAACGAGCUUUGUACCGCUCGACAAAACCAUCCGAAUGGUGUUUAACUUUAUAGACCCAUCUGCAGCCAAUCGGUGUCUUGCCUGAUGGCAAUGAUGUGAGAGACCAAGUUCCAUUAGCUUGAAGAGCAUUCAGUUCGGUGCGCAUGGCUUCCUGCCACUCAGGAUGAACAAUAGCCUCUGCAUAAGACUUAGGCUCUGGAAGGGAGCUGAGCUGAGCAACAUAGGCAUGGUAUGCAGGAGUAUAACGAUGAUAUGAGACAAAGUUUGCCAUGGGAUAGCGCGUACCUUUGGUUGGACCUGGCAGUAAGGUGGCUGAUUGGUGGGAGUAAACAUUGGAGCAGACAAAAUCUUUGAGUUUGGCUGGUGGAGCAGAAUGGCGACUGGAGCGACGAAGUUGAGUGGGUUCGGGUGGUGGUGGAUUUUCAAUAGCAGCGGGAGGUGGAAAUGGAGAUGGGGCAGCUGUGGGGAUGGGGUCAGAGGGUCUGGGGCGAUGUGUAUAGGUGUGAAGGAUAGGUGGAGGUUGGGUUGAUGAGGAACGUGAAUGGGGAUAGGCAGGUGGUGGAGAACAUGAAGGUGCAGGGACUGGAAUAGUAGGAAAAUUAUAUGGGGACUGGAAUAAAGAGAGGUUGUGGUAGGAGUUAGAAGAGGAAUAGGACCAAAUUCAAUGGGUGGAGUUUGAACAAAACCGGGUUUGACCGUGGCAUAAGGAAAAAUAUUUUCAUGAAAUCGCACAUCGCGACUAGUGAAUAUUUUUUUGGAAGAUAUAUCAAAUAGUUUAUAUGCCUUUUGACCAAUAGGAUAACCAAUAAAAAUUGAGGGCAUUGAGCGAAAAUCAAAUUUGUGAGAAGGGUGUACAUUGGUAGCAUAAGCUAAGCAACCGAAAACCCGAAUAUGAGAAAAAGAAGGCGGUUUGGAAUAGAGAAGCUCAAAUGGAGUUUUGAAGGAAAGCACUGAGGAAGGAAGUCGAUUGAUGAGGUGGACAGCAGUAAGAGCACAUUCUCCCCAAAACUGGGUUGGGAGUUGAGCUUGAAAUUUUAAAGCUCGAGCUACUUGUAAAAUAUGACGAUGUUUGCGUUCCACAACCCCAUUUUGUUGAGGUGUGUAAACACAGGAAUGCUGAAAAAUAACACCGUUAUCUUGAAAAAAGGAACGAAGUGAUAUAAAUUCACCACCGUUAUCACUUCGAAAAAUUUUAAUUGAAGAUUCAAAUUGUGUGAGAACAUAACUGAAAAAGCGUUUUAUAAGAGAUUGAGCUUCAGUUUUGUGUCGCAUCAAAAAUAUCCAUGUGAAACGGGUAUAAUCAUCAACGAUAGUAAGAAAAUAAUAAGCACCAGAAAUGGAAGGGUGUCGAUAACGACCCCAAAUGUCACAAUGAAUUAUUUCAAAAGGUUUUAUAGAUGAAAUGACACUAGAAUUGAAAGGCAAGCGACUUUGCUUAGCCAAAGGACAAAUAGGACAAACAUGACUGGAUUGAACAGAAAAAUUUAAAAAUUCUUGGGCAAUGAAACUCAAACGAUGAGGUGAGAUAUGGCCUAAGCGCUUAUGCCAGAGAUCGGUGGAUGAGAUGGUUAGGUUACAGGCUGGUCGAUGUAAUGGUGAGGUAGGUUGGACCACAGAUUUCUUCGUCGCUAUUGCCACCAAGUAGUAAAGUCCAUCACGUUGUUUACCCAAACCAAUCAUCCUCCUCGUAGCCAGAUCCUGUAAAAUACACCAAUAAGGGAAAAAGGUUACCGAACAAUUCAAACCUCUUGUCAAACGACUGACUGACAUCAAGUCAACUUUAAAUGUUGGUACACAUAGCACAUCAUGCAAAUAAUAAGUGGAAUUCAGAGGCAAUGAUCCCUUUGUAACAAUAUUGGUUGUUUCCCCGCUAGGCAGUAAAACAGGAGGCAAUGAGCAAUUAUUAUCUUGUUGAAAAAAUGACUGAGAUGAUGAAGAAAUAUGAUAUGUUGCCCCGCUGUCAAUAAUCCAACUGCGUGAAGCAAUUUUAGGCAAACCUGGUUUUGUCACAGCAUGUGCUUGAGAACUGGAUUCGGCACCUUUAUCAUUAAGAAGAGAUAAAAGCUGUUUCAAUUGGGUCUCCGAAAUGCCAACAACAGACUUGCCAUUUUCUUUAACAAGACUUUUUGACACAUGGUUUGCUGCAGAUCUGUUGCUGUGGUUGAAUCGUCUGGCUGAAUUGUUCUUUGCCUUGGGGUGCCCUGCUGGAUAUCCAUGGAGCUCAUAACAGGUUUGGACCCAAUGUCCCGGUUCUCCACAGUGGGAACAAUGAGGUCGUCCUCGUCUAGGUCCAAACCUGCGUCUGUCCUGUUCAAAUCGGCGUCCACUGUCUUGCUGUUCAAAUCUGCGCCCGCCAUUGAUAUUAUCUGUAAAUCUAUCUUGCGAUCUAAAAGAAUGGUAGGAACGCUCACCUUUGUCAUUAAAUUUACUGUUGUUGCUUUGAACCGCCAUGGCUGCACUGUUAACCGAAUCAUUGAUGGUGUGUGUUGAACUCAAAAGGCGUUGCUUUUCUUCUUGAGAGACAAAGGAAUAAGCUUGCCGAACCGAAGGAAGAGGAUUCAUCAAGAGAACUUGUCCACGAACAGCACUGUAAGACUCAUUUAACCCCAUCAAAAAUUGCAUUAAUCUUUGUUGAUCCUGCUGCGUCCCUUGUAUUGACUUACUGUAAGAGGCCAGCUCAUCCCACAGUCCCUUCAAUCUUGUGUAAUACACUGAAACAGAUAAUUGUUCCUGCCUAAAACAAGCGAUAUCUCGCUGAAUUUCAAACAUACGGGGUGCAUUGCUUUGAGAAAAUCGGUCAUGAAGAUCUUCCCAAACUUCAUGAGUAGUAGAAUAGUAGAUCACGCUAUCUGAUAUUUCUGGAUUGAGAGUGUUAAUAAUCCAUGAAUGGACCAUAUCAUUGCAUCGAGACCAAGCCGCAUAACCUUCAGGAUCAGUUUCUUCUGAAGGGGCUUUGAUUGAGCCAUUAACAAAACUGAGCUUGUUUUUGGAAUUCAACGCCAGGGUCAUAGCCCUUUUCCAAGUAGAAUAGUUUUCUCCAUUCAAGGGUUUGGAAAUCAAAACCAAACCUGGAUGAUCUGAAUGGUGAGUGAAAUAGGGAUUUGACAUAUUCCCUCUUGAAAAAUCUAUAUGAGCUUCUAGAUUUGAUGACAUUUCAUUGUUGGUCAUGGUGACUGAAAAAAAAAAUAGGCUAGAGAUUUAAUUGCAGUGAUGAAUCGGGAUUUUUAAGCCAGCUCUGAUACCAUGAAAAGAAUGAAGAGAAAAAUUGAAUUUGCAGAAGUAUUUGUUAUUGAUACUAAAUCAUAUACUUGUAUAAGGAGGCUGCAACUGAUACCUACAAGUCAGGAAUCAGUUGCUGCUUUAUAGCUUCAGCUGCGACAUGUUAGGAAUUACAAAUGGAAAGUAAAUAAAUACAUAUCUUCUAUUUUAUACAACUCUGCUAUUCUAUAUACGAGAACAUUUUACUUCCUAACACUGUCACAUCCAAUGAUUUUUUUGGAGAGUUUGAAGAAUUGAUCAAAGCUAAUUCCACGCUAAAUGGAAGCUGCAAAAGUGAUCAAUAUUGCGGUUUUAACUAAAAUUGGUUGACAAAAUAUGAAUUUAAGGUCUUAUUGGUCUAUAAGUUCUUCAAUGUUCCAUGUCAUUCAAAGAUUAUAUCAUGCGCUAGCUUGUAUGAUGUAAAGAUGAUGAUUUAUCUAUAAUAAUAUCUCUUGCGUGUGUUAUAUAUUAUGAAAUGGUAUUGGAAUCAAGCUAUUUUCUGUACAUUAAUAAAAUUAGAUACAUUUAUCUUUCUUUAAGAAAUUCAUGAAUUUCUCCAAUUUGAUUGGAGUUAUAUAAGUCGUAAAUAAGAAUUUAUGAGAAAAUAUCUCACAACUAUAACUAUUUAAAAAAAAAAUAAGAUUUAACUCAUAUUAAUUAUUUACCCAAGUAUACGUAAUUUGUGUCCGCUUAGCCAGCUCCUUGAAUAAUAGAAAUGGAUCCAUGAGAGGAGUAUCCUUUUUUCUUGGCUUCAUUCAUCAACUUUUUUUUUUUCAGCGAAGAAUCUAACUCAUUUAUUAUAUAACAUUAAAUUCCAGAAAAUUUUAUAAUUCUAUCAUGGAUUACUCUCGGGCAAAGAAAGUAUCAAUGAGAGCAACGAACCCUACAUUUUGUUUUUGCGGUCAAAAAUAUUUUUAAAAGUUUUUAAAAUUUUAUUUUUGUUUUAAAUUAAUUUUUUGAAUUAUUUUAAAAAAAUAAAAAAUAUUAUUUUAAUAUAUUUUUAAGUAUUACAAUAAUAAAUAUAAUUACAUGAGAGUUUUUUUUCCAAAAUAAACAUAAAAAUAAAAGUUCAAGUGUUGGUGUGAGAAAAUAAAAGACAAGUUCAAAGGUCUUGUUUGCCCUUGCAACAUGAUCCUCGAUUUCCUCCCUUAAGCCCCCACCCUCCAUACCUUUCCAACUUCUUAUUCCUUUGUAUUUUUUUUCUUCAACUAUUUAAUUUCAUUAUCCUUUGGUGACGACGUGUAUUUUUAUCAUAUACAAAUUUACCAUCUUCAUUACAUCAUGCAAAUGUAUUAAUGGCAUAAAACGACAAACAACCACUAGUUUUACUUGAUAAGAAUAUCCCAUUCAAUUGUUGUCAAAAAUAAUUUCAAUCAAAACUAUUUACCAAGAAAAAAACAUGCCACUCAAAACCAUACAAAUAGUUAUGGGAUUUUGACUUGGUGGUAGACUUUUCAAAUAAAAACAAUAGAAAUGAUAUCUCAUUUUGUUGACCUCGUAGUAUGGGUUUAAGGAAAGCAAAUAUAUAUAUAUAUAUAUAUAUAUAUAUAUAUAUAUAUAUAUAUUUAUUGUGAUUGUUUUUUAUAAUGUUUUUUUAUUUAAAAAUGUAUUAAAAUAAAAUUUAUUUUUAUUUUAAAAAAAUUAUUUUUAAUAUUAACACAUCAGAAAAAAAAAAUCAUUUGAAUUUUUUUUAUAAAAAAAAUACAACAAUAAACACACCCAAAAACAUGUGUUUUUAGCCGGCCAUCAUAUAGAAAUAUACUACGUGUUUAUCAAAUCUUAUAAUAAAAUAAAAUAGUUUAUUCUUGUUUUUAUUUCUCUCCCGAUUUUUCAACGCAAAACACACGCCAAUACGUUGGUUAAUUUAGUAUUUAACAGCAGAAGUGGACGACCUACUACUCCCACCCCUAACUUUUAUACCUUUCUUUCCCUAAUCAAUUUCCAGCAUAAAAUUCACAUCUUUCUUGAAUUGGAGCAGGGAAGAUGGCUCGUGUACCACAUGCACGGGCCUUCACUCUCCUACGGGGUGUUUGGUUUUAAAGUGUACCACAUGCACGGGCCAGCAAUUGGCAUGGCCACCAGUCAGUGGGAAUGUGGGUUUAAUUUACAGCACCUAUUUGGGUUACAAACGUGGCUCUUGUUGUCAAAAUAAUACAAAUACUCCUAAUAAGAUCUGUUGGAGGGUCUCAAAAUUAGGUAUUUGGUGUCAAAUAUACUUAUUGGGCUCUCAAGAACAAUCCAUUUUACCUAAAUGAUACUAUAGGCAAGUUUACUGCUUAACAUCUAGUAUAAUUUAUUUAUUUUUGUCACGAAGCCCGUUACGUUCGUUGUUUUAUUUUCUUAAUUAGUUCUUUCAUGCAUGUUGGCUUGAGUGGAAUUAAUUUUAUUUUCUUUAAUUUGAUUUCAUUGAUUUAUUAGUUAAAUUGGCGAGUACAAUUUAUGUUACUAUCAUGAUUUAAUUUCUUACAGUGUUCAAGUAUAAUCCUCAAAGUGACACAAGCACUCAUCCUCAUGGUGUCUACUUGCUACCAAACUUGUGGAGCUUCUUAAAAUGUGACCUGGGUAGAGCCGUGUUGCUUGCAUACGAGACUCAAAGAAGUGAUGGUGUGUUCGAGUUCGUGAUCAAGAGGUGGCAACCCUAUUACUUUGCUUGCGGCGGAGGAGCUGGCUUUCAUUGUAAUAAUGUCACCAUGGGAGAUUAGACAUUCCAUUGAAUUACACGCACUGCUACUAGCAUUGCAUCUUGUUUUUUGUUUGUUUUCACUGUUUUCCAAACGUAUCAUAAUAUAUGUAUUAGACAGAAACUGCAACUCAGGUCUACGCUGUGAAACUUGUGCAGCAAAUGGAAAUCUAAUUAAGGCCUCGAUGCACCGGAAACCAGCCUAUAAUUCCUACUUCAAAGGUCGGUGUAAAUUCAUCGACUCCCAAAUCAAAUAUUAAUAAAUUAUAAAACUUAAUUUUAAAUAAAUUUGUUGCUUGAAGAAUAAAAUAAAAAAAAAUUAAUUAAUUUUUUAAAAAAAAAACUUAAAUUAACUCGUUAAGCUAUUAAAUUUACAACUCAAUUAAAUUAUAAAAUUGAGAUAGUUCAAUAAAAAAUAAAUUAAAAUAAAUUCUCAAGCAUAAUUUUCAAUUAAUUUAAUAUUAAAUUACAAAAUAAAAAAAAUUAACUAAAAAAUUAAUUAAAAUAUAACUCGUGUUAACUCGUUAUAAUUAUUACUCUUAACCUAAAGUCUGCAGUAACAUGCUUGUUUUAUGCUAAUUCUUUCGUUUCAUAUAUUUCCUUAAUUCUUUCGGUGUAAGCAAAAGAAAAUAUAUAAGCACUUUGGAUCAAGAAAUCUAUAAGAAGAAAUAAAUUGAUUCCAAAACACAUUACAACAACAAGUGUAAUUAAUAUAUAUGUGUGCUCGACGUCGUCAACCCCUAAUUAAUCUUGUCGUCGCAAUCAAAACGCAUGCAUAUGCAUGAUUAAUUAAAUAAUUCUCUAGUAAAAAUAAAAAACAACAAUCGAUCAAGAUCGCUUGCGAGGGAUCUCCAUUCUCGCAUGCACGGAGCAAUUGCAAGCCAGCCCUUCUAGUACUUCACGCCGCCGGCAGGCCUCCAAAGAAUAAUCUCACCCCUCAACCUCGUCAACUCCAUCAUCAUGGUGGACAACAGCACCACCAUCCUUCAUUAGAGGUUUCUCCAGUAUUUGUAACUUAAGCUCCUCACAUAAUCCAGCCACUAACUCAUUGAAAUGAGUCCAGUCUAUCUUUAAUGGUUCGUAGACAUCAUCAUAAAAAGAAUCAUCGUAAUUGAAAGCAUUACUAUUGCUCACUACUGUCUCGCAUGCUUCUUCAUUGCCAUGAUCAGUAGUGUAGUCGUCGUAAAAAGCAUUAUAGUUGAACACAUGAAAGAGGGUGAUAGAUGGUAUGAUUUGUUUCCCUUGCGAUAUUCUAUCAGCAUAUUCUUGAUCGUACGAGAAAUAGCUAAACCCCAUGGUUAUGAUUACAAGGAAAACCUGCGCACCUCUCGGUAGAAUAACGGAAGAAAUUAAGUAAAGAGAAAACCUGCUUGUCAACAAUAAGGAUAUAAUAAAUUCUUGUGUAAACAAUCCAUGUGUGGCCGAUUAUAUAUAUAUGUUGGCUAAGGAUUGAAUCAAUAUUGUAUUAGGAUUUGUCUCCUUAACUGCCUUCCAGUUUUUUUACCCGGUUUUGUAUCAGUCUCCUAACUAAAUACUAAUUCUCACAUUUAUUUUUGAAAUUGUUGGGCCUUCACCAGAUUCAGCUUAGGUUUUAGGGUCAAUCAGUCCAGCCCAUAAACCAAGGGUAUAUUUAUCUAACAUCCCUUAAAAUUUUUCUCUUAAUUUUUAAUUUGUAUUUAUUUUAAUAUUUAGCCAGAAAAACCUAAUAAAAAAACAAAAAAAAUUUAAAAAUAAUGAUUAUAUCUAACCUUCUAAAUAUUAGAAACGGAGAUUUGUUUUUUUUGUUAUAAAAUUAUGGAGAUGGAGUUAAUCUUAUUUUUUAUUUGGAUAAGUUGUUUUUUUUUUAUCUUUCUUUUAAUUUUAAUAAAUUGAUAUUAUUAUUUUUAACUACAUAGCAUACAGUUAAGGCCCGAGAAAGAAACAAACAAAAGGGAAGGCUUGUCGCCGAAAGAGCUACAACAGGCCCAAUCUCGUGUUCAAGGAAAAAUUGGAUUACGUAGAAAGAGUGAGUUUUAACAACAAACGAAGGAACAAGAAGAGAUGAGCGUUUUUGGUGGAGAUAGCUGGGCAAGAGAAGCACAGUACAGGAAAAGAAGAGUUGAUGAUCUUGUAAUAGACGGACUUGAUGGGUCUUCUCACAAGAAGCUAUCAAGUGGAAACUACGCAUGUCUUGUUUGCCCUCACAAUCCCGUCCUCGAAUCUCCCCUCGCGCUCUCUGUACGCACCAGAUGUCCUCUUAUCUUUUUCUUCAAUUUUCAGAUUCAUUACCAGCAAUCACUGAAUCGAAAUAAAUUAAAAAGAGAGAAACCCCACUUGUGUUUUUAUGUAAAAGAAUCAAAUGGGAUACAAAAACUCACUAUUACCAAACCCUAGAAAGACUAAAUACAGAACUGAAUUCUGAUUUGUAUCCAUUUGAGGUUGUUUGAGAAGGGUUUUCUGUUAUUGUAAAUAUUGAUUAUCUGAUUGUAGUAGAAUUAAGUAGGGGAGAAAGUAGGAAGGGAAGUAUGGUGAAAACAAAUCUGUUUUAUACAACACAUUACUCUACUAAGAGAGGAAGUCCUAGUGCAUUUGAAUUUAAAUUCAAUACUUUGAACACGUAUAUUUAUACUAGAAUAAUUCAAGAGAUUUAUAAAUAGGUCUGUAAUAGUUACAUGCAUAUAGCUAGGAGAAGUUUUAAAUUUGGAAUGUGUUGAGAUGAUAAAGUCAAGACUUGCUAAUGGCAUCUCAUUGCUAUCCCUUCAAGCUUCCUCUCUUUAGCAAUUUUAUUUGCUUAAACAUGGUUCAUCUAGUCAUUUUUUCCUCUUAUGUCUGCUGUAAUAUUUUUUUUCAUGGCUCUUUGGCCAUUUUCCAUCUAUUGUAAGAAGGGUUCUCUCGUCUCUUUGUCGUGUGUUUUAGUACCACAUCAUCUCUUGUGCAAGAAGUUAUCAGCUUGCACUAAACCUCUUUCUUAUGCUUCUUCUAUCUCGGAGUCCCAAUUCUCUUGUUGUGUACUAUUCUUGCACCUUUAUUUUUUCUUCAUUGAAUGUCACUUGUCCAUCCACUCUCAUUAGAUCAAACUAGCUUUGAUACUAUUUUAGAAAUAAGUAGGGGAGAAGGUAGGAAGGGAAGCAUGGUGAAAACAAAUCUCUUUCAUAUAAUAUAUUACUCUUCUAAGAGAGGAAUUCCUAUGUAAUACUCUAAACAUAUAUAUUUAUACUAUUAUAGGAUAAUUCAAGAGAUUUAAAAGAUAUAUACAUUUUUAAUUGUUAGAUACAUAUAUUCUAGGAGACAUUAGUAGAACUAAAUGACACUUUAAAUAAAGAUUUCAAAAUUAUUUCCAACAGAUUGUUCAAAUGUGUUUUAUUUUGUAGAUGCAUUGUAAGGGAUCCCGACAUAUUGCUGCGGAGUCCAAGCUGAAGGAAAAAGAAUUGAUGAGACAAAGUGAGAUUAAUAAAAGAUUAGCGUUAUCAGAAUCUGAUGUUAGGCCUGCUAAUCCAAGUGCUUUGAACAAAAAUACUACGUUAGUGAGUAAGCCAUUGAUUGAAAAGACAAAGAAGGCUGCUACCGAGAUACUUGGCAAAGGAACUGCUCAGUUGAGUUCCAAAAAUCAAAACUGUGAUCUGAAAUUGAGCGUGGGAUAUGUAAAUAUUAUGAAUGUGGUGACCAAAAUCUGCGAAGACAGCUCAUGUCCAGAAGUAAUAGCAUCUGAGAAGAUGCUUGUGCAACAGCACUUGGAUUUUAGGGAGCGGCGAGAGAGAGAGCUGAAGUUCACUGAAGCGGGUUGGAAGCGUGAUUGCCAUGGAAGAUGGUUUAGAGAUGAAAAUGUGAGUAUACUUUUUUUGAUGAAACACUUUGACAUCUUAUUGCUACGGUAGUGAUUAUUGGUUUCUGUUUCUGCAUCAUGUAUGUUGGUGUAGAAAUUUUGAGUCUGUUCAUAAAAAUUGCAUCAUCAGACAAUUCAAAUAACAAGGCCUUUUCCUUCCUAUGUUGAUUCAUGUACAGCCAGUAUAUUUAUGCUUUUGAUUUCUUGCAGGUGGAAUUUGAUUCUGAUGAAGAAGAUCCGAAUGUCUGUCUUGGUUAAAAAUUUAAACGAAGAUCAUCUGCAAAGACUUUUGAUAGAAUGCUAGUGUGAUUAUCGACAACAUUACUAAUGUUGGUUACUCGAGCUGCAUGGGCGACAACUUUCUUUGGUUUUCAAGAAAUGCAGAAAAAUCUUUCUUCUAUCUUGAUACCUUGAGGAGCUAAAGAUGAAUGGCUUGAUCCAGAUUUUCAAUCAAUUGGCAACUGGAAUGUGCUGUAGAUAUCCAUGUUGUAGUUAAAUUCUUUGG